rnacentral:lncRNA from 1 species
UCUUUUAGAAAUCAGGAGUUGGAAGUGAAAGCUUGGCUUUGCAACUUCUGUGGAAGAGUUGUUGUGACUUGGAUCAUAACCAGGAAAGAGAAACACGGCAGAGUGGAUUUCCAGCAGAGAAUGGGAAGGAGAAGGAGAUGAGAAGUUCUGAAGAGCUUUUGGCAAAGACUGAUUUCAAGCUGCUGCUCCUGGAAAUGAGCUUGCUUGGGGACCUUGCUUUGCACACAGCCCUCCCACCCCAGGCAGUAAAAGGGACAGCACAGAGCCACGACCUGGUUCACCUCUUCCACGUUUGUUUUCCUAAACAAUGCAACAAUCACUGGAACAAGAGAUCCCGGUACUGA